CAAAGGGCAGCAAACUCGCGAGAGCUAGCAAAUCCCAUAAACCGUGGCUCAGUUCAGAUCGUAGGCUGCAACUCGCCUACGUGAAGUAGGAAUCGCUAGUAAUCGCAGGUCAGCAUACUGCGGUGAAUACGUUCCCGGGCCUUGUACACACCGCCCGUCACACCAUGGAAGUUGGCCACGCCCGAAGUCGUUACUCCAACCCUUGUGGAGGAGGACGCCGAAGGUGGGGCUAAUGACUGGGGUGAAGUCGUAACAAGGUAGCCGUACCGGAAGGUGCGGCUGGAUCACCUCCUAACAGGGAGACAACAAAAUGUUUAAUAUUAUUAUUUUGUCACCUUAGGUCGAUCGGUAUCUCACGUUCUUAAUUCGUUAAGAAUUUCAUUUCCUAAGUUUUUCUAGGUCACACCCAUUAUUUUUCCUGGGCCAUUAGCUCAGGUGGUUAGAGCGCACCCCUGAUAAGGGUGAGGUCCCUGGUUCAAGUCCAGGAUGGCCCAUAUCUCUAUGUUGGGGGUAUAGCUCAGUUGGUAGAGCGCCUGCUUUGCAAGCAGGAUGUCAGCGGUUCGAGUCCGCUUACCUCCACUGAUUACCACCUCUUCCAUAACCGAUAGAAAGGAAAUGUUUUGAGUUGUGAUCAUUAUUCUGAACGAAUCUAGCUUCCUAAUGAAACCAUUAAGAUGCUGGACUCAUUGAAUUAAUUUCAUUGUUUUCAGAGAACCUUGACAACUGCAUAGAUUAUUUUUAAAGACAAUAAGCAUCUUUAAUGAUGCAGAUUUAUUAUUUGUGCGAAUGCAUUAAUAACAAUUCUAUUAAGCUGAUGCUUCAAUUUUUGAAGUUAUUGGUCAAGCUACAAAGGGCUCACGGAGGAUACCUAGGCACACAGAGGCGAUGAAGGACGUGGUUACCUGCGAUAAGUCUCGGGGAGUGGAAG
rnacentral:misc_RNA from 1 species